UACGUAGGGUGCAAGCGUUGUCCGGAAUUAUUGGGCGUAAAGAGCUCGUAGGCGGCCUGUCGCGUCGGCUGUGAAAACCUGGGGCUCAACCCCGGGCCUGCAGCCGAUACGGGCAGGCUAGAAUUCGGUAGGGGAGACUGGAAUUCCUGGUGUAGCGGUGAAAUGCGCAGAUAUCAGGAGGAACACCGGUGGCGAGGGCGGGUCUCUGGGCCGAUAUUGACGCUGAGGAGCGAAAGCGUGGGGAGCAAACAGG
rnacentral:rRNA from 1 species